AGGACUGGAGUUUGAUGUGGUCUAAAAGGUUUGAUGUCGAUCCGAAGCAUGAAUGACGCUAAAUGCACCAUGGUAGCCAAAGUUUUGAAAUCAGGGAACAUUUUAUUUGGUUUUGGUUACCUCUGUACUAUUUUAAAUUAUUUGAAAAUCUCAGAUUAAUUAACACAAGAGCAACUCAGAGGUGCAAAACCACAGUAAAAACAGUAAAAGUUGAACGUCAGUGACUCUCCAGGGAACAUGAAGCUGAUCUGAGCUGAACUGUGGAGGAUGGGAGGGUCCAGGCCUUAAUGCAGCACUGAGGCAGAGCAGGGAUGUGUUGAGGUCAACCUGCCAGUAGGGGGAGUACCACAGGGCUCCUGUCAGCACAUGAAGACGGAGCACAGAGCAGCCAGCUCUGUUUCUGCUCGCUCCUCAGACAUGCCUCCUCUGUUGUUCUCAGUGCUGCUGGCUGCUGUCAGCCUCGAAUGCAGAGCGCAGACCGACGGCGUGCUGCAACCAGAGAGAGAUGUGAUGGCUGCUGAAGGAGGCAGUGCAACUCUGAACUGUCUCUAUAACACCAGUGCAUCCAACCACUAUCUCUACUGGUACAGACUGGAGGAAGGCAGCAGCCCCACAUUCAUCCUGAGUCGCUUCAAGAUUGGAGACGGGAAAACGGUGGAGAAGAGAUUUUCCUCCAGCCUGGAUGCCACUGCUAGAUCGGUUCCUCUGAAGAUCCAGGAUCUCCGUCCGUCAGACUCUGCUGUGUACUACUGCGCUCUGCAGCCCACAGUGACAGGAAACACCAGAACCCUGCACAAAAACCUGCAAUACUCCACAGCAGCCAGUAGAGGGCCUCACUCCCUGUUAAACCACUAAAACCUGCAGUACUCCACAGCAGCCAGUAGAGGGCCUCACUCCCUGUUAAACCACUAAAACCUGCAGUACUCCACAGCAGCCAGUAGAGGGCCUCACUCCCUGUUAAACCACUAAAACCUGCAGUACUCCACAGCAGCCAGUAGAGGGCCUCACUCCCUCUGUUUGGUUGAAUUCAGUCUGAAACAGACCUCUGUGUGUUUGGCUCAUCAGUUUGAGAUGAAAAUGUGGAAACCAGGAAGUGAGUUUGGUGAAUCAUUAAAGUAAAAAGAUAUUUAAAUUAAUGAAUUUGACUUGAAAUCCAAUCAACAAUUUCUGAAAAAUAUGACCUUUUUAUGAUAAAAUAUCAUCCAUUUUCCUCUAUGGAGUCUUUCUGCUGUUGAAAUCAUA